CGAGGUUGGGAAGCUGGACUGCUGUAGGAUGAAAACCGCCUGGGACUCAGGGCUUCUGCCGUGGGUUUGAAGAUGAUCAGAAGGGAAGUGACCCGGUCAUCAGAUACAGGGAGUGAGAUAAACACCAGAAUGUGGAGAAAACCGUGCAUGUUGAUAGGUUUUUUUUUUUUUUUCAUGUUGAUAGUUUUGUUAAAAAUAAUUUUAUGAAGUGACAAAAGUUAACAAUGUUAUCUCUGGGUACUUCCGUUUUGGAAGCUAUUUUUUAGCUUUUCACAUGACCAGGAGUAUAUGUUACCCAUACGGUGGAAAGGAGAAAAUCAUUAAAUGUGCAAGCAGAGUGGGGGAAGCAACCGAAGGGUGGUUUGCAGGCCUGCAAACCAUGAACACAGUCCAUGCCAAGUGGUGGCCGGGCGGCUGAGACCCUGUGAUAAGUACAGACUCAGUCACAGUGAGCACGGGGUCCAGACGGGGGCCCUGAGCCUCUCAUGUUCUUUGCAUCACUUCCUGUGUGUCACACCUGGUUUGGGGACCAUAGGUUAAAGAGCUGAAGCUGAGUUUGGUUGGUCAGAGGAGAAGUCAUUGGAAAGCACAUCAUAAAAGGAAGAUUUGUGACAUCCUGAGAUGUUUACCCUGAAGACGAAAGAGCAAAUGGGGUUCAAGGCCAUGUUCAAAUACUUGGUGAGCUUCCAUGGCAACAAGAUAAGCCCCUUCUCUACCAGAACUGACACCAACACUGGAACUCAGAGGAAGGCCACUUUUGGCCAGACACAGGAGAAACAGCAUUACAAUCACAAGAUUACCUCAAGGAGAGAGUGAGGUCAUACCCACAGCCUCAGUGUGGACAAAAGUGACUCAUUUUGAGGCCCAGUGGCUUGUCCCCACGACCCUUCAGCUGGUCAGUAGGAGGGCCAGGGCCAAACCACAUCUCAUGCCUCAAGACUACCACUCUCCUCCUCACCCCCAUCAAGGCCGCUUGGACCCACAGAUGCCCAGGAGGCAGAUCUGCUCCCUCAGAAGGUGGGCUCCCAGGCUGCUGGUGUGUCCACACACAGACUGAGUGACACCUGCCAGGGGCAUCUAUAGGGAACGUCUGUCAUAGAGGGAUGGACCAGCUGUGUCCACGCACAGGCUGGGUGACACCUGCUGGGGGUCUCCAGGGAACGUAUGUCACAGAGGGAAGACUCACUUCCUGUCAGGGGCACCCCCAGGGAACGUCUGUCACAGGCAGAUGGACCAGCUGUGCCCACGCACAGGCUGGGUGACACUGGCCAGGGGCACCCCCAGGGAACAUCUGUCACAGCGGGACAGACCAUGUGUGUCCAUGCACAGGCUGAGUGACCUCCUGCCAGGGGUGUCCCCAGGGAACGUCUCUGACAGCAGGACGGAUAACCUCUGAGGUGCUUCCCAGCCUGUGCUGCUCUGGUGGGAAUUCUGGAAGUAACUGGGAGGAGGGUGGCACUGAGGGUCUCUAACAAUCAUUAAAGAGAAGUCCAGAGGCUUAGGAACAGUGGUUGGUACACAAAGAGAGGGGAGUCAGCGUCCUAGGAGGCCGUUCCUCACCAGGCCCAUCACGGUUGUUAUUAGUCAGAUCACGCUGGUACCUGCCCCCCAACAUUUGCCAGGAGUGGGGGGGGGUGCGUUGGGUGGAGAGCAGACUGUCUUCUGCUUUGACCCCUACUCUGCCAACCAGAAAGCGUGACAUGUCCAUGGACAGGGCCGAGUGGUGGUCAUGGCGUGUGGUCACGGUGGAGCGCCACCUGGAAAUCACAGAUUAUCCAAACACUGCAGGCACUUCCAUUCACUUCGAAAGGAGCCAAGAAAAGACGUGCUCUCCCCUCCCCCCAGCCCCGGUCCCACCCUGAAGAAAAACCCACACACCCUUCAGUAAUUCAGCUUUUUCGUUUGGCUCACAAUCAUAGGAAAAGGGCUGAAUUGCUUAGCUCACCAGCAGCACAUCCAGACCCUGAAUCUCCACUUAAAAGACGGGACGGCCCAGGAUUUCCCUCAUUACCAGUGAAGUGUAGAUGACAAGUUCAUUAAUUAAAGCUCUUUUCUGGCUCCUGGUGUGUCUGUUCUCCAGGAAAGAGAUUAAGAUCUUGGUGCAGAGUCAGCUGGCCCCAAAGUCAUGUCCCUGAGCAUGUGACUAUGUUCAUCUCGGGCAGGUUGUUAAAGAGAUGCUACCGGAGACGACCGCAUCUUCACUCCGGUCACGCUGUGCCCUGAGCCACCCUUCUGACGCGAGGGUCCUUGGGUGAAGCACCUUGUGCAUCCCCGUCCUGCUUCCCCUGUCCCUGUUACAUGCAGCUGGUCCUGAUCUAGAGUUCCGGGGAGGCUGCUGGUUCCUGAAAUCCCUUCCCCUCCCUCCUCUGGCCAUCCCCUAGUGUCCACGAGGAGCACCUGGCACCGGUCAGCUGCCAUUCUGUGUUUCACACACUGACUCCUGUGCCUGUCCCUCUUGCCCUCAUCUUGUAGGUGACGGGAACCACUCACCCAGGGCAGCGCUGCUAAGUGCUGGGGGUGAAAUCCAAACAAGCUUUUCCGGACCACGCCCGUCACUGUAACAGAGGACCAGGAGGGGCUGCCUGUGCGGAGAGUGGGCUUCCUCCCUGUCACACUGGACACUGGUUCGAGGACAGGGUAUAAACCCCGUUCCAAAUGAGGAAAGGUUGUCAGACGGGAAAGUGAGGCUGGAAGUGAAGGAAACUCCGGGGAGCGUAGUGGAGAGACGGGCUGGGGGAGGCUCAGGGGACCCAAAGGCAGGCUGGAGAGGAAGGGGCUAGAUUCAGGCUGCACAGGGCUCAGAGAAGCUGGACGGGAGACUUGCCCAACACGUGGGCACCAGCGAUAAGGCUUGGAGUAAACAUUCUGAGGGGUAUUUUUGGAUCCAGAAAAAUAAGUACAAAAUGUUCCUCAGGCGAGUUCCUGCUAUGAUGCGGGGGUUAAGAACCUGGCAUUGCCACUCGGUGGUCUAGAUCUUCUGAUUCCUGGCCCGGGAAUUUCCGUAUGUCAUGGGGGUGGCCAAAAAUAAAAAUGUUCCUAAGGGCCAAGAUGUAGAGGGAGGCUUUUGUGGCCUAGAGGUGAUAUGUGUAGAAAAUAUAAUUUAUAUUAUAUAUCAUGUACAAUAUAGGUAAAUGAGCUCCAAAAAAACAAAAAAACAAAAAAAAAAAAAAA
rnacentral:lncRNA from 1 species